rnacentral:tRNA from 1 species
GGGCGUGUGGUCUAGUGGUAUGAUUCUCGCUUUGGGCGAUCCCCCUGAUCGAACAGGAGGAACAAAGCAUGCGAGAGGCCCUGGGUUCAAUUCCCAGCUCGCCCC